rnacentral:rRNA from 1 species
CACGUAGUUAGCCGGCGCUUCUUCUGCAGGUACCGUCACUCUCGCUUCUUCCCUACUGAAAGAGGUUUACAACCCGAAGGCCGUCAUCCCUCACGCGGCGUCGCUGCAUCAGGCUUUCGCCCAUUGUGCAAUAUUCCCCACUGCUGCCUCCCGUACGGAGUCUGGGCCGUGUCUCAGUCCCAGUGUGGCCGGUCGCCCUCUCAGGCCGGCUACCCGUCAUCGUCUUGGUGAGCCAUUACCUCACCAACAAACUGAUAGGCCGCGAGUCCAUCCUUCACCGAUAAAUCUUUCCAACCCCACCAUGCGACAAGGGUUCAUAUCCGGUAUUAGCCACGAUUUCCCGAGGUUAUCCCGAAGUGAAGGGCAGGUUACUCACGUGUUACUCACCCGUUCGCCACUAAUCAGACCGUGCAAGCACGGUCGUCAUCGUUCGACUUGCAUGUGUUAAGCACGCCGCCAGCCGUGUCCUCGUAGCCAGGACUCGAAACGUACG